UCUGUAUACAUAAAAUACUAUUUCCCGACGAGAAAAAGAAAGACACUUUAUUAAGACUUUAAGGUAGCGACGGAUAGCAACCACGUGAUCAGUAAAAAUUGUGUAUUUUCACGUGAAUUCAUUUUCCGGAAUUCCUUACUCCGUCAUAGAAUAGUCGAAAAACAAAAAGGGGUUCCGAAAGUUUUUUGUUGCUGUGACUGACUCGCCAAGAGAAAAUAUGCACAUACCACAUAUUAGUAUACGUCAAUAUCUGUAAUAAUGGUAGAUCAAAUGUUUCAUCUGUGUGAAACUUUUUGCUAAUCGAAAUGUUAAACCAACCACCAAUCCAUGUACAUAGAUGCGCUACGUAAACAAAGUUGUUGGUUGAUACAUCGUAAUGUCCGAGUGCAGCAUGCUGCGAGAUUGAAUACUGUUUAUAGAGUCAUUGAGAGGCUAAACAAAGUUCCUUGCAAGAAGAGGAAGUUGGUGGAUGCAUUCAACUUGGACAACGAAAUCAUAGUUUCGUUUGACAUCAGCCUGAAGACCAAGGGAGGUUAGAUAGGACCAGUGCAGGUUGAAGUGGAUUUCGAGUCAACAAGUAUAACAGCAAGAGAGGUACUCCAUUUACAGUGAUGAUGACAUAUCCCCUGGACCCCCACAACUCCACAAAUUUAAAAAUGUUUGAUCAAAAGAUUAAAGAACUACUGCAAAAUUUGGGACUUGGAUGAAAAACAUGAAUUCACUUAUAUGAGCUCAGAGCAGUGGAUGUUGUACAGCAUACUUUAAACUAAAUUGUGAAUUUGAGGGAAAACAAGUACAUGUACUCGUGUAUUACAUGUACAUGCCUUUUGAAAGACAAUGAUAUUGCAUAGAUGUAAAGGAGAUUUCAAUGUUGAUUAUUCUUUCUUAGAUAUAUUAGUAAAAAAUGUGCACAUGAUAGAAUAUCAAUUUUAUAACUUCAAUCAAUGUGUUUGAAUUUUCCUUGUAAUUCAAAAUUUAGUUGAAACAUACAUCAUUGAUACAUUAAUGUAUAUCAAAUUUUUAGAAAAGUUUCAUAAUGGAACUAAUUCACCCCCCCCCCCCCCCCCCCCCCCCCCCCCCCCCUUAUACAUACAGUGAACAUAGACCUUCACCUGGGGAAAACCACAGUUAGUUAAUGCAAUAUACAUGUACAUGCAUUCUCAGUUAUCCAAUAGUGAGUUUUUGGUUCAUUGUGAAACUACAAUUAGAAAUCUUAAACUUAUGAAAGACACACCUAUCUGUGAGGGUAAGAUGACUCAGAUGGACUUACAUGUAGUGAUCCAUGGGCAGUCCAUGGGUCUCUUUCCAUUGCUAUUAAUUAUUUAUUGAAAUAUGAAAUGGUUAUUUAAACAUAUUUGGUGUAUUAUACUGUAUAGUGAUAUAAAUUUCUAUCAAAAAAUAUGUAUAGGCAAUAGAUUUGGUCCAGUUAUUACAAGAAAUUGUAUGAAAAAUAACUAAAUAUUUAGGCAAUCAUUGUGAGUGCGAAAAGGUCAACUGCAAUAGCACACACUAUAUAUCAUUCUUAAAUGGCUCAUAGAAACUUCUAGUAUUGUGAGUUUGAAUGCUCAAUGUGGUAAUUUGGAAAUGCUUAAUCAUUUAAGGUCAAUAGUUUAUCUCAGCUGACUAUCUCUUAAAAUUCAUUUCUAGAAGGGAGGGGGUAGGGUUACAAAAUCUGACAUAGUUUCAGAUUAAACCUCAUUUGGUAUAUUUUUUUCUAUUCAAUAUUUUAGAUACUACUUGACUUAUUGUAAAAAUGAAAUAAAAUCAGAAAUUUUAUGAGCAGAAUUUUGUUGUUGUCAGAAAAUGUAUGCCUGAUAGUAUUUGAGAAAUGUCAUAUUUAGGGUAAAUUUGGCCAAUUGCCAAGUUGAAUCAUCCCAAUGUUUUCCUUAGAUGCAUUUUGAAUUUUUAAUCAAUGUUGAUUUUUUUUAUCUGUUUGUGUUUAAUUUACAUAACUAUAUAUGACAAACAAUAUUUCUGGUGUCAAUAAAAAUUUUAUUGGC